rnacentral:rRNA from 1 species
CGUGUCCGCGCAUAUCUGCAUAUCAAUAAGCGGAGGAAAAGGAAACUAACAAGGAUUCCCUUAGUAACGGCGAGUGAAGCGGGAAGAGCUCAAAUUUGAAAUCUUCAAGGUUCUACCUUGACGAAUUGUAGUUUAAAGAAGUGUUUUCUGUUAGAUGAGUAGCAAAAGUUCCUUGGAAUGGGACAUCAUAGAGGGUGAGAAUCCCGUAUUUGGUUAUUCAUUCUAGCUUUGUGAUACACUUUCAAAGAGUCGGAUUGUUUGGGAAUGCAGUCCAAAAUGGGUGGUAAAUUUCAUCUAAAGCUAAAUAUUGGCGAGAGACCGAUAGCGAACAAGUACCGUGAGGGAAAGAUGAAAAGAACUUUGAAAAGAGAGUUAAACAGUACGUGAAAUUGUCAAAAGGGAAGCGUUUGACACCAGUGUUGUUUUUCCGAAAAUCAAUUACGAAUGGCUUGAUUUUGUGUUGUAUUGACCUUAUCAGCUUUCUGCACUUUUUUCGAGUCUUUCUUAAUGCACUUUUCGGUUAACAAGUCAACAUCAAUUUCUGUUGUUGUAAAAGAGUAUUCGGAAGGUGGCUUUCUUUUCGGAGAAAGUGUUUAUAGCCCUAUACUUCUACAAUCGGAGAGAUUGAGGUCUGCAGCGUAGAUCCUUCGGGGUUAGAUACACUUGUGCUAAGUUGUAGCUUUUCAUAGACAACUUGUUGACUAUGUUUAGUCGUGCGGCUUACUCGCUUGUGCUAUUUUACCUACGCUUAGGAUGUUGACGAUCAGCUGAGCGCG